GAUGAACGCUAGCGGCAGGCUUAAUACAUGCAGGUCGAGGGGCAGCAUGAUUGUAGCAAUACAAUUGAUGGCGACCGGCAAACGGGUGCGGAACACGUACACAACCUUCCAAUAAGUGGGGAAUAGCCCAGAGAAAUUUGGAUUAAUACCCCGUAACAUAACGAUGUGGCAUCACAUUGUUAUUAUAGAUUUUUCGCUUAUUGAUGGGUGUGCGGCUGAUUAGAUAGUUGGCGGGGUAACGGCCCACCAAGUCUACGAUCAGUAGCUGAUGUGAGAGCAUGAUCAGCCACAAGGGCACUGAGACACGGGCCCGAUUCCUACGGGAGGCAGCAGUAAGGAAUAUUGGACAAUGGACGCAAGUCUGAUCCAGCCAUGCCGCGUGAAGGAUUAAGGUCCUCUGGAUUGUAAACUUCUUUUAUAAGGGACGAAAAAAGGCUUUUCUAAGUCGUCUGACGGUACCUUAUGAAUAAGCACCGGCUAACUCCGUGCCAGCAGCCGCGGUAAGAC
rnacentral:rRNA from 1 species